ACAAGUUGUCAUCUAUUAGACCAAUGUUUCUCAAAAUACAUGUUGCAAUCCAUUAGCAUAUCAUGAAAUCAACUUAAUGAAAUAGAAUAAAAUAGAAAAUAAAAGACCAGAAUGCAUCACAUAUGUUAAGUAUAGGUACUGCCUAAUAAAACUUUUGUUUCAGGUGUGUGUGUGUAUGUGUAUAUAUGCUAGGUCACCAUGCAGAAUGUAUUUUGGGCUGUGGGUCAGAGUAAAAAUAUUUGA
rnacentral:lncRNA from 1 species